rnacentral:rRNA from 1 species
UUCUAUUAAAAAUAAUUAAUAGUAAGAUCUGCUCAAUGAUAAUUAAAUAGCCGCAAUUCGUGCUAAGGUAGCAUAAUCAUUUGUCUUCUAAUUAAAGACUAGAACAAAAGAUUUAACAUUCCAAUUAAUUUCCUUAAUUUAACCUAACAAAUUUAACAUUAAUGUAAAAAGACAUUAAUUUAUAAGAAAGACGACAAGACCCUAUUGAACUUAACUCAAGUUAAACUGGGGCAGUUAAUAAAUUAUUAUUUUUAUAAAAUUAUACAAACAAUAAGCUAUUAUAAAUAAUAAAUCAGUUACCAUAGGGAUAACAGCGUAAUAAUUAUUUAAAGCUCUCAUUUAAAUAAAAGAUUGCAACCUCGAUGUUGAAUUUAUAACCUAUUCAUAAGCAAAUUUCUAAAAAGGAAGUCUGUUCGACUUUUAAAAAAUAACA